rnacentral:rRNA from 1 species
CACGUAGGGCGCAAGCGUUGUCCGGAAUUAUUGGGUGUAAAGAGCUCGUAGGCGGCUUGUCGCGUCGACUGUGAAAUCCCGCGGCUCAACUGCGGGUCUGCAGUCGAUACGGGCAGGCUAGAGUUCGGUAGGGGAGACUGGAAUUCCUGGUGUAGCGGUGAAAUGCGCAGAUAUCAGGAGGAACACCGGUGGCGAAGGCGGGUCUCUGGGCCGAUACUGACGCUGAGGAGCGAAAGCGUGGGGAGCGAACAGG